ensembl:lncRNA
GUCAGACAUGACUGAGCGACUGAAGUGAACUGAACUAUGGUGCUGGAAAAGACUCUUGAGAGUCCUUUGGACAGUAAGGAGAUCAUACCAGUCAGUCCUAAAGGAAAUCAACACUGAAUACUCAUUGGAAGGACUGAUGCUGAAGCUAAAGCUCCAAUACUUUGGCCACCUGAUCUGAAUAGAUGAUGUGAACACCUGACAAGAACAUUGGAAAAGACUCUGAUUGAAGGCAAAGGAAUAAGAUGCUGUUGGAACUAAUCCUGAUGAUGAGUGAUUGUACUUCACAUUCUCUGCAGAUCAACAGGGAUUCUCUGGUAAAUAAAGA